GAAAUACCAGCACCACAUCGUGACCCGUGGUCUUCUCGCAGUUUCCUCCUUCGACUUAGCCUUUUCCUGGGAAGAGUCAGGUGUCUGACCUGUUCCUCGUUCCCCAUCCUCCCUCCCUGCAUUCGCCCCCCCCUCAAACCCAAAGGACAAGGUGGGGUGGUCAGCUUCCUGUCCUCCCUCCCACGGUCUUUCUUGCUCCCUUUGUCCCUCCCCCUUCCCUCCUCUUCUCCUUCCUUCAUGCCUGCUCUCUCCUCGUCUCCUUUCUCUCUCUCCCUCCCUCUCUCUUUCCCGCCCUCCCCCAGGACUUAGGACGCCGCUUCUGUACCAGUCACCGUGCUGAGCCAGAACCGUCCCCCCAGCCCUUCCGGAGCGUGUCCCAGACAGACGCUCGUCAGGUCCUUGGACUUCAGCGAAGAGAAGAAGAGCGGGUGAGGAGAGCGGGCAGUGCGGCAUCAGUCCGCACAGGCCAGGGCGGAGCAGAGAGAAGGCCAUGGGGUCUCGAGUAACUGCUGGAAGUCGGGGCAAGGUCCUCUGCCCUCUGCCUUCAAGAUGAGUUUCCUCUCACGGCUGCCUCCAAGCUGAGCAGGUCUGUGCACGGCUAACCCCCCGCCCCAACCCCGGGGUCUUUAUGUGGGUUUCUGGAGUUGCCGUCUGCCCAGCGCUUCCUCUGGGGUCC
rnacentral:lncRNA from 1 species